rnacentral:rRNA from 1 species
UGGGGAAUUUUGGACAAUGGGCGAAAGCCUGAUCCAGCAAUGCCGCGUGUGUGAAGAAGGCCUUCGGGUUGUAAAGCACUUUUGUCCGGAAAGAAAUCCUUGGCUCUAAUACAGUCGGGGGAUGACGGUACCGGAAGAAUAAGCACCGGCUAACUACGUGCCAGCAGCCGCGGUAAUACGUAGGGUGCAAGCGUUAAUCGGAAUUACUGGGCGUAAAGCGUGCGCGGGCGGUUUGCUAAGACCGAUGUGAAAUCCCCGGGCUCAACCUGGGAACUGCAUUGGUGACUGGGCAGGCUAGAGUAUGGCAGAGGGGGGUUAGAAUUCCACGUGUAGCAGUGAAAUGCGUAGAGAUGUGGAGGAAUACCGAUGGCGAAGGCAGCCCCCUGGGCCAAUACUGACGCCCAUGCACGAAAGCGUGGGGAGCAAACAGGAUUAGAUACCCUGGUAGUCCACGCCCUAAACGAUGUCAACUAGUUGUUGGGGAUUCAUUUCCUUAGUAACGUAGCUAACGCGUGAAGUUGACCGCCUGGGGAGUACGGUCG